rnacentral:tRNA from 1 species
UAUAUAGUUUAACUUAAAACAUUAUAUUUUCAUUAUAAAAUUAAAUUUCCUUUUUAUAAAUA